rnacentral:rRNA from 1 species
GACGAACGCUGGCGGCGUGCUUAACACAUGCAAGUCGAACGGAAAGGCCCUGCUUUUGUGGGGUGCUCGAGUGGCGAACGGGUGAGUAACACGUGAGUAACCUGCCCUUGACUUUGGGAUAACUUCAGGAAACUGGGGCUAAUACCGGAUAGGAGCUCCUGCUGCAUGGUGGGGGUUGGAAAGUUUCGGCGGUUGGGGGUGGACUCGCGGCUUAUCAGCUUGUUGGUGGGGUAGUGGCUUACCAAGGCUUUGACGGGUAGCCGGCCUGAGAGGGUGACCGGCCACAUUGGGACUGAGAUACGGCGCAGACUCCUACGGGAGGCAGCAGUGGGGAAUAUUGCACAAUGGGCGGAAGCCUGAUGCAGCAACGCCGCGUGCGGGAUGACGGCCUUCGGGUUGUAAACCGCUUUCGCCUGUGACGAAGCGUGAGUGACGGUAAUGGGUAAAGAAGCACCGGCUAACUACGUG